rnacentral:lncRNA from 1 species
UUACAUUCUCUAUUUAUUUUCUCGAUUCACAUACAUUUCCGCUACGCUCUUAAACCCAACAUUUAUUUUGUUCUAAGUUUUUAUUGUUUAUCGAAUUAAUGUGCUGUUUCAAUGGAACCAUGUUAGAUACACUGGUGAUGCAUUGUGUCACUCUUGAAAGUGAAGUCACCAAGUGAUUGGCACAGGAAGUGGUCUUCUGUAUCUUGAUAUCUUUUGCAACUUGAACUUUACAUUUGCCAAGGUUUUCUUCAUAAUUGGGAAACCAAAAAAAGGAAAUAGUCAAAGGGAAAGGAAAAAAGAAAAAUAGAGAGAAACAACAUGCAGCAAGAAGAACGUUGUAGGCAUCAGCUUGGUAAACUAUUGCACCUAACCAUUUUGGGAAGGCAUGUAUAUUGUAUACAGUAUACGUAUUAGUCAUUUCUGAGCCAAAUGGCCAUUAUUGCGCCUAAUGUAUAACUUACCUAUCUCAAAUUUUUUUAGCUUCCACUACUGUGCUUGUAAGGAUGCAGAAAGCCGCCGGCAGAUGAGAUCAAUGCCAGCUGUUUUCCUUAAAGAAAGUACAGAAACUAAAGAAAAAAGGUAAAAAAGUAUGAAAGGAACAUUGAACUUCUAAUAGUCCUAUGUUUGUCCUUUAUGUUGCUGCAUUAAGCAAUUUGCCUGUUCUAUUAAGAGGCAAAAGUUUGCAUGAAUGCUUCCAACUCUAUCAUCGCCUUUGACAAAAUAUGCAGAAGCUACCCAAUAUUGUUGGUUAGGAGUUGGGUAGAGGCCGCGCGAACACAGGCCCCUGCUGCCACAAAUUAUGACAUAGGCUCAACAUCUUGGAUCAACCUUAGGCAAGCACCCCUCCAUAGUGCAAUGGAAGUCACCAACCUAAGCCAUGGGUCUUAUUGAUCGCCCAGACCCUGUCCAGGUAAAUAAGUUUCCUUGAAGCUCUUCUCUAUGGUUUUAUACACCUUCUGAUCCUUAGUUUUCUGUGUACCAGCCGAUGAGGGAGAUCACGCAUUUAAGCUUAUUCUUAAUGAAUAAAUAGUUGCUUAAUUAAGGCUGUUUCAAAUUUAGACUAAAUGUGAGCAGUUGGCAAUCACAAGGAGUUAUCAUAGGGGUUAACAGCCAUAAGCCCAUAAUUGAAGAUAAUGAUUGUCUCAGCGGCAUAUCGAAAAAGGAUC